GAUGAACGCUGGCGGCGUGCUUAACACAUGCAAGUCGAGCGAGUGAGUUCUUCGGAACGAUCUAGCGGCGGACGGGUGAGUAACACGUGGGCAACCUGCCUCAUAGAGGGGAAUAGCCUCCCGAAAGGGAGAUUAAUACCGCAUAAAAUUAUCGAGUGGCAUCACAUGAUAAUCAAAGGAGUAAUCCGCUAUGAGAUGGGCCCGCGGCGCAUUAGCUAGUUGGUGAGGUAACGGCUCACCAAGGCGACGGUGCGUAGCCGACCUGAGAGGGUGAUCGGCCACAUUGGGACUGAGACACGGCCCAGACUCCUACGGGAGGCAGCAGUGGGGAAUACUGCACAAUGGGGGAAACCCUGAUGCAGCAACGCCGCGUGAGUGAUGAAGGUCUUCGGAUUGUAAAGCUCUGUCUUUGGGGACGAUAAUGACGGUACCCAAGGAGGAAGCCACGGCCAACUACGUGCCAGCAGCCGCCGUAA
rnacentral:rRNA from 1 species